GACGAACGCUGGCGGCGUGCCUAAUACAUGCAAGUAGAACGCUGAAGGAGGAGCUUGCUUCUCUGGAUGAGUUGCGAACGGGUGAGUAACGCGUAGGUAACCUGCCUGGUAGCGGGGGAUAACUAUUGGAAACGAUAGCUAAUACCGCAUAAGAGUAGAUGUUGCAUGACAUUUGCUUAAAAGGUGCAAUUGCAUCACUACCAGAUGGACCUGCGUUGUAUUAGCUAGUUGGUGGGGUAACGGCUCACCAAGGCGACGAUACAUAGCCGACCUGAGAGGGUGAUCGGCCACACUGGGACUGGGACACGGCCCAGACUUCUACGGGAGGCAGCAGUAGGGAAUCUUCGGCAAUGGACGGAAGUCUGAACGGGCAACGCCGCGUGAGUGAAGAAGGUUUUCGGAUCGUAAAGCUCUGUUGUAAGAGAAGAACGAGUGUGAGAGUGGAAAGUUCACACUGUGACGGUAUCUUACCAGAAAGGGACGGCUAACUACGUG
rnacentral:rRNA from 1 species